rnacentral:rRNA from 1 species
UGCAAGUCGAGCGGAUGACGAGGAGCUUGCUCCUCUGAUUUAGCGGCGGACGGGUGAGUAACACGUGGGCAACCUGCCUGUAAGACUGGGAUAACUUCGGGAAACCGGAGCUAAUACCGGAUAACUCAUGAGGCCACAUGGUCUUAUGAUAAAAGAUGGUUUCGGCUAUCACUUACAGAUGGGCCCGCGGCGCAUUAGCUAGUUGGUGAGGUAACGGCUCACCAAGGCGACGAUGCGUAGCCGACCUGAGAGGGUGAUCGGCCACACUGGGACUGAGACACGGCCCAGACUCCUACGGGAGGCAGCAGUAGGGAAUCUUCCGCAAUGGACGAAAGUCUGACGGAGCAACGCCGCGUGAGCGAUGAAGGCCUUCGGGUCGUAAAGCUCUGUUGUUAGGGAAGAACAAGUAUCAGUUAACUGCUGGUACCUUGACGGUACCUAACGAGAAAGCCACGGCUAACUACGUGCCAGCAGCCGCGGUAAUACGUAGGUGGCAAGCGUUGUCCGGAUUUAUUGGGCGUAAAGCGCGCGCAGGCGGUUCUUUAAGUCUGAUGUGAAAGCCCCCGGCUCAACCGGGGAGGGUCAUUGGAAACUGGGGAACUUGAGUGCAGAAGAGAAGAGCGGAAUUCCACGUGUAGCGGUGAAAUGCGUAGAGAUGUGGAGGUACACCAGUGGCGAAGGCGGCUCUUUGCUCUGUAUCUGACGCUGAGGCGCGAAAGUCAGGAGAGAAUACAGGCUUAGAUACUCUGCUAGUUCACCAGUAUUCUAUGAUGUUUAAGU